AUGACCUUCAUCAUCAUCUUCAUCUGGACUCUCACAGUGUUUGCUCAAGAGUGUAGAGGACAGAUCACCGUCACUCAGAGUCCCUCAAUGACAGCAGCUCAACCAGGACAAACUGUGAACAUCAACUGUAAAACCAGCAGUAAUGUGUACAGAUCGAGUGGUUAUGAUUUUUUAGCCUGGUACUUACAGAAACCUGGAGAAGCUCCUAAACUCCUGAUUUAUUAUGCAAGCACCCUCCAGUCAGGAACUCCAUCUAGAUUCAGUGGCAGUGGAUCUAACAGUGAUUUCACUCUGACCAUCAGUGGAGUCCAGACUGAAGAUGCUGGACAUUAUUACUGUCAGAGUUUACACUAUCCAAACAGUAAAUGGGUGUUCACACAGUGAUAAAGAGUCGUACAAAAACCUCCGUCAGUCAGAGUCACAGUGACUGAACUGAUACUGCAGCUGCUCACACACUUUCACACACUUUCACACACAGAGGACAAAAACAGGAACUACACAUGUGCUCAAAACUUUAAGUAAAAUCUACUCUAAGGCUGCGUUUACACUUGGCAUAUGUGAUCACCGUGAUCCGAUCAAGGAGAUCAGAUCAUUAGCCAAUUAGGACACGGUGCGUUUAUAUUUGAUCACAUUAAGUGGCCUCUGUAUCUGGAUAACUGAUCGGAUUUCUGUUUCCCGCACAAUAUUUAAAUUAGGCGUGUUUUAAAGGCAGACGCUUCAAAUGGCU